rnacentral:rRNA from 1 species
UACAGAGGUCUCGAGCGUUGUUCGGAUUCAUUGGGCGUAAAGGGUGCGUAGGUGGCUUGGUCAGUCGGAUGUGAAAUCCCGGGGCUCAACCCCGGAACUGCAUUCGAUACUGCCAGGCUGGAGUACUGGAGAGGAGAUUGGAAUUUACGGUGUAGCAGUGAAAUGCGUAGAUAUCGUAAGGAAGACCAGUGGCGAAGGCGGAUCUCUGGACAGUUACUGACACUGAGGCACGAAGGCCAGGGGAGCAAACGGG